CUGAGGUGCCCAGAGGCUCAAGAAAGCACAUCAAGAGGUUAAUGGACUCUUGUUUUGUGGACAUUUCCUUCCUGUUUAUGCUUUCUUUUCUUUAUUGACAUCAGUCACACAGCUCCUGUUUCUUGUCAAUAUUCAGUUGUCCAUAGAAGCCCCCACUUUUCCUGCCUCCCUUGGAACACUGAUUCUCAGUUAUCUUGAACCCGUCCUUCUGGAACUGCAAUCCCUAAGACCCCGGGGAGAGUCCUUCUACUUCUGCAGUUGCCGAGUUUGGAUUGAUGGAAAAGGAAAGGGGAUGUACCCAAGGGGAGAGGAAGAAAAGGAGAGGUAAAAAGCAGUAAAGAAGGGCGAUGGUUGAAGUUGAGAAAAUUUAAGACCCAAUGGACAUGAACACCAGGGUUCUGACUCUGGGUUCCUUACUCCAUUCCUCAUAAUACGUCGAGAACUUAGAAGAGAAGACAAGUCUUGAGAUGAGGAAACUGAGAGCAGAGAAGAGAGCAAAGUAUGUGAGCACACUCCAUUUGUCAUCUCGUGGCGUGGCGGGGAAGAAGAGUGUCUAGAUUUCUCUAAUUUGAGAAGGCAGAUCCGAUCGCCUUAGCUGUCCAGUGCUCUUCCCCACUGCCUGCAAGGAGCAAGAGAAAUGGCCUGUUGGCUGGUGGACUCUUCAUUUCCUGGGCACACCUUGUGAUCUUUGAAAUGGACUUCUCUCCAUGGAAGUCCCCACCUCACCUGUCACUGAUGAUACUGCCCCUGCUUUCAGGAAAUGCAGAAUUCCUGUUUUUAGUGGGCAACUUAUUCCAUGUGAGCUUCAUGGAGCUAUACCAUGGUCAUUGUCUGCAAGAGCCCUGGAAGCCUGAUACAGCCCUUUGAUCUUAAACUUCGAAGUCUCCA